rnacentral:lncRNA from 1 species
UUUUAGCUGGGUGUGGGACGAGGAGGUGUGGAGGAAGAAGUCCUCCUUGUCUUGUUUGUGACUUUCCCAAUGUGGAGAAUAUUAAGCUAAAAGCAUUACCUAGAAAAACUGGUUUGGGCUUCAACAACCUUGACCCUUUUCUCUGCUCAGUCCUUUGGGAUCCUAUUUCUUGGUGCUAAGAAGGGGUUCAUUCUCAAGUUAACCUAUUUCCUAUAAAAGGAAACCAGACUCAUGUCCCAGCCUCCCAUGGGACUGACUCAGCUUUGCCUCCCACAUUGCAGAUGGAUUACCGGGCCUUGGUGCAUGAGCGAGAUGAGGCAGCCUAUGGGGAGCUCAGGGCCAUGGUGCUGGACCUGAGGGCCUUCUAUGCUGAGCUUUAUCAUAUCAUCAGCAGCAACCUGGAGAAAAUUGUCAACCCAAAGGGUGAAGAAAAGCCAUCUAUGUACUGAACCCGGGACUAGAAGGAAAAUAAAUGAUCUAUAUGUUGUGUGGA